CGGGAUACGUCCCGUGUUGAAGGAAUGUAGCCCUCUUUGGGCCGAACCUCAGG
rnacentral:ncRNA from 1 species